AUCCUGGCUCAGGAUGAACGCUAGCGGCAGGCUUAACACAUGCAAGUCGAGGGGUAUAGGUCUUCGGAACUAGAGACCGGCGCACGGGUGCGUAACGCGUAUGCAAUCUACCUUUUGCAGAGGGAUAGCCCAGAGAAAUUUGGAUUAAUACCUCAUAGUAUAGCAGUUUCGCAUGAAACCACUAUUAAAGUCACAACGGCAAAAGAUGAGCAUGCGUCCCAUUAGCUAGUUGGUAAGGUAACGGCUUACCAAGGCUACGAUGGGUAGGGGUCCUGAGAGGGAGAUCCCCCACACUGGUACUGAGACACGGACCAGACUCCUACGGGAGGCAGCAGUGAGGAAUAUUGGACAAUGGGCGCAAGCCUGAUCCAGCCAUGCCGCGUGCAGGAUGACGGUCCUAUGGAUUGUAAACUGCUUUUGUACAGGAAGAAACACUCCCUCGUGAGGGAGCUUGACGGUACUGUAAGAAUAAGGAUCGGC
rnacentral:rRNA from 1 species